rnacentral:rRNA from 1 species
ACAGAGGGUGCAAGCGUUAAUCGGAGUUACUGGGCGUAAAGGGCGCGUAGGUGGAUAUUUAAGUCGGAUGUGAAAUCCCUGGGCUCAACCUAGGAAUUGCAUUCGAUACUGGGUAUCUCGAGUAUGGUAGAGGAAAGUGGAAUUCCCGGUUGUGGGGUGAAAAGGCGAGGAUUCGGGAAGAACCACAGGGCGAAGGCGGGUUUCUGGAACAAAACUGACACUGAGGCGGGAAAGCGUGGGGAGCAAACAG